AUACUUACCUGCCAGGGGAGAUACCAUGAUCACGAAGGUGGUUUUCCCAGGGCGAGGCUCAUCCAUGGCACUCCAGAUGAGCUGACCCCUGCGAUUUCCCCAAAAGUGGGAAACUCGACUGCGUAAUUUACAGUAGUGGGGGACUGCAUUCGCUCUCUCCCUUG